AGCGAACGCUGGCGGCAGGCCUAACACAUGCAAGUCGAACGAACCCUUCGGGGUUAGUGGCGGACGGGUGAGUAACACGUGGGAACGUGCCUUUAGGUUCGGAAUAACUCAGGGAAACUUGUGCUAAUACCGAAUGUGCCCUUCGGGGGAAAGAUUUAUCGCCUUUAGAGCGGCCCGCGUCUGAUUAGCUAGUUGGGGAGGUAAUGGCUCACCAAGGCUACGAUCAGUAUCUGGUCUGAGAGGGUGACCAGCCACAUUGGGACUGAGACACGGCCCAAACUCCUACGGGAGGCAGCAGUGGGGAAUCUUGCGCAAUGGGCGAAAGCCUGACGCAGCCAUGCCGCGUGGAUGAUGAAGGUCUUAGGAUUGUAAAAUCCUUUCACCGGUGAAGAUAAUGACUGUAGCCGGAGAAGAAGCCCCGGCUAACUUCGUGCCAGCCGCCGCCGUAACAC
rnacentral:rRNA from 1 species